ACCUCGUGGUUGGGACAUUGCAUGAGUUUUCCAUUGAAUCUUUCCCACACCUCAUACAAGGGUUCAUUAAUUAAUUACCAAAAGUUAAUGAUUUCAUCACAGAAUU